UGACCCGCAAAGUCUGGGUAGUGGAUUACCGUUGGAAUUUCUGAAUUUCAUAAUAGUUUCUUUUUUUUCAUUUGCUGCCUCACACGUGCUCACGCUCAACUUAAUAACAAAAACACACGCAUCACGCACACUGAGAAAAGACGGGCGAGCUGUCACGACAGCAGCGCCAUCAGCGCCGGGUGAGUGGAUGCCGAAACAAAAUUGAAUUUGAAAUAACCGUUUUUGGAGGACGAUGGUUCGGCACUCGAGUGUCCCGUCUGUUUGUCUGUGGCAGUAGGCCGAGUAGGCCAAGUGCGCGUUGACACAAAUUUGCCUUUCAAAACUUCAAACUAGACUCACUAAAAGUUCUUUCUUCGUUGUUUGUGUUUCUCAAUGUGGGGAAAAUGGUUUUUUUGUCAACGGUGAUUAGCGCAACGGUCCACUCUCAAAGUUUGAGUGGACAAAGAAGGAAAUUUGUGGGGACGCAUUGUAAACAAAGGUUGAAGAGAAAGCAAGGGACGGUGAGCGGAAACUUUGGUGUAUGCAAUUUUUCAACGCCCUCAGCGGCAACUCAGUGCAAACAUGCUGCCGGAUCUUUUUCUAUCUUCCGGGAAAAAAUCGACAGCAUUUAUUUCCGGGUUUGACGUUUUUUGAUGGUGCUGGGUGCUGAGGUCACUGCUUGCAUAGGUCGAAGGACGCAUUCUUCCGAAAAGUGGUCAAUCCGGAAAACGUCCAUUCCUCACAGAGGUGGAUUCCGGGAAAAAUCAAGGUUAGUAAAGAGGGAAAUUUUUGAGUACGCAUUGUAAAUAAAAGUGAACGCAAGUAAAGCUGCAUGCAACAUGAAGCUGCAAAAGGAGUUUCUUUUUGUUCCACCGACAUUGCACCACAAACGGCUAUUUUUUACAUAAAAUAUAUUUCUGUUAAAUUAAAUAUUGUUCAUAUAUAUUAAGAUAUUUUUGUUGUUUAUAUACUUAAUGUCCACUUUUUAACAUAUAUAUUUUUUAAUUUAUUUUCCACGUUUUUUUUCAAUUGUUCAUAUGGAUGUGUGUGUGUAUGUGCGGUUGCACUUGCAAUAAUAUUUUUGUUUUGUUUUACAUGAUUCCAUCAGUUGUAUGUUUUAUUUUUCUUCUCCAUAUUAUACCAAUGUUUCUCAUUCAAUUUCCCCACAACUGCACUUUGUUUGCGUUUCGCGUAUCAACUUUCUUCUCCCACUCCCAUUCGUGCGUCCAACCCAACUUUACUUCUAUCCUACUUUGUUGCUUUGUUCUCUAUAGGUUUCGUUUCGUUUCUUUCUUCUUUUUUGUUUUGUAGUUGCAGGUUGUCGAGAAGAAAAGUGUUUUGUGUAAAAUAGGAUUUUAUAAAAAUAACAUGUCUAGUAAACAAAUUAUAAUAAUUGUAAUCAAAAAAUGAGAUAAAAAAGGUUUUUUUCUUGCAAAAAAUAUGUAUCAUAUUCUCACGUUUCAUCAAUUUUAACGAAUAGAUUUAGUUUUAGUAAAAUUUAUACAAUUACUUUACCCCCAUUAGCAUCAAUAAUAUGUAUAUAUAUAUAAUUUGCUUUAUCAAUAUUUUUGUUUACGUUUUAUCAUCAAUCAAUUGUUAUUCAUCAUCUUCUUCGUCUUCUCCCGUUUUCCUCAUCAUCAUUAUCUUUCAAUAGAGUAGGUUGUUUGUUUUGUGGGUGUGUAUUGUUUAUCAGUUUAUGCAUAGAAUUAAUACAAGAAACCUAGGUUUACCUUUAUUUAUUUAUUAGUUUUGUCCUAGUCACGCGCGUUCAUCCUUGCUCUCUCCCAUUUUGAUUUCCUUCUCAUUUCGUUUCCGUUUCUCAUUGUUUUUUGUUGUUUUGUUUUGUUCCACUAGAAUACAUACGUGUUUGUUUGUGGUUUGUGUUGGUGAAGCGAAACAAUUCACAGAGUUUCUUCCGUCUUCUCUUUUGCAUAUAUAUUUACACGACGACGACGAUGACGACAAUCACGUUGAUUUUUUUUUCUGUGUUUCAACAAAAUUCAAGCAGCUUGAACAGUAAUGAAAUAUACAAUUGUUUUUUUUUUUGCGUUUUUCCCUUCUCUGUAUAUUUGUAGUUUUACAUGUAGUACAGUUUUGUUUCGAUUUGCAGCGUAUUUUGUGGUUUACUUUGUGUUUUACUUGUAUGUUGUUUUGUAUGCUGUAUCGUCCUUCACGUUCUGGCGUAUGUUGUGUCUGUUUUUGUGAGUCUGAGUGUGUACGGUUAAGAUACUUUUUUUAUAUGCACAUUUUGUUUUCCCUUUACUUUAGAUAUUCCUAAAAUCAGUAGUUAAAGCCUUUUUGUCCGUUUGCUCCAGCACAAUCGUUUAAUUUCUCUCUCUCUCAAUCAUAAAACAAAAUUUUCAACAACCAAAAAUGCUCUGUUUCUUUAAAUAUAGUACAAUUUUCCCUAAAAGUUUUUUUCUCCCUGCUUCCUGCAUUGUUCUGCUCUCCCUCUCUCUUUUCGUAUAACUCUUGUUCGUUUGCUUUUCUGCACUCUUUCUCUCUCUUUCUUGCCUGUGUGUGUUGAACGUUUUGAACGCGGAAAAAGGUAAACUGAAGGGUGCUUACAAAUCAUCUUUUUGUCUGUCUGUGUGAUAAAUAAGGUUGUAAAUAUGCUUUCUCUUGUUUUUUUAUCUUCUUCUUGUUAUAUUGCAAAAGUUUACCAAUAAAAUAAUACACAAAAAAAGUCGGGGGAAAUUUUACUCGCCUAUUGCAAAUACGGUUUCGAGGGUAAUAGAAUAAAACUAAAUAACAAAUAAAAAAUAGAGAUAAAAAAAUGCUCUUUCCUUUUUUUGCUACUCUCUCACGCUCGCUGUUUUUUCUAGUGUAAAGUUUUAUUGGUUAAUUUUCUAACUACGGGGUUUCUGUGUGUGCUUUUUUUUGUUUGCAUAUUUGCAACUAUGGUGAAAAAAAUAAUAAAAUAAAUUGUAAUUUAAAUAGAAUUUAACUAAAUAAUUGGGAGAAAUGCCUAGCAAAAAAAAAAGAACAAAAAAAAACAAAGAAAGGUAUUAAAAAAUUGCACAUUUUUCACCACAAUUUUCAUGCUAAUAAAUGUUUCGGUUGUGGGGGUAGGCCAUGGAAAGGUCUCCGACUAAGUAGGUCAACAAUAUUUUUUGAAUGCUUCAUGGCCGACUGCGUUAAAUCAUAACUGCAAGCUGGUGUGAUAAAUUAAAUGUGGAUUUUUCAGAUGCAGAUCUGCGUGUCCUGUUUCUAGUGUGUGGAUUUGUGUCAUAAUUGUUUUUUUCCUGUUUUUUUUUUUGUUUGUUUUUCAUAAUAUCCUAAUAUUAAAAUUCAUCUUGGUAGCGUUUUUUUUACACAUUAAUGGUGUUUUAAUUAUUUUGAUUCCUUGUUUUUUUUUCUAAGUAUAUUGCCUGUAAUAAUUUAAAUAAUAAAAAGGAUUACAAAGUAAAAAAAGAGCUUCUAUGGAAUGCAUCAUGUUUGCCCCUCGACGAGGGGCUUUUUAUAAGAGAGAAAUGGUUUUAUUAUGGUGUGUAUGAGUGUGGCGUGUUGUUUACUUUUCUGCAGCGUUUUAACCUUUUCAGCUCAAUUCUGUUGUUGUUUGUGUUUUCUGUGAGUGUGUGUGUGUGUAAGUUUCUUUCUUCUACGAUUAAUAAUACUAUAGUUUUCCUUGUUUUAUUGGCUAUUACUUGUUUUUCUUUUGUCUGAUUUUUUUCAGUAGCAGAUUUGACCUUAUCGCUUGCAACACAACAAAGCGCGCGCGCCGAAAACAAUGCUUUUUUUAAAGAAGGGGUGGACGACAACAAAUUACUUCAAAUCUUUUCUUAAACACUUUCUUAAACAUUGUGUAAGCGUAUGAUAAGGACACUGUUUUGCGCGGGCAUUUUUUUAAAAACGUUUCCACUUGUUCACCAUAAUCAGAAUAAACGUUUGAAUUUGUUUGUGUGUGUAUGAGUGAGUCAGUGAGUGUGUGUGUGUGAUCUUUGUAAGAUAAACAAUAUAGCAAAUUUAACAUAGAAUAUUUUUUGUUACCCAGCUCUAUCUCUCUGAUCUUUUCAGCUAAUUUCGCUUUUUCUCGUUGAUGCUAACAGCAAGUUGGUUAAUUGUUGGCUCUUUAAUUGGGGUUUUAUUUGUGUAUUUUAUUGACGGUAGCAAUAGCAAUUGUCACAGCAAUAUUCUCGAUUAAAAUGUUCUCUUUUUCGAAAAAAGAUGUCUGAAAGGGUGGCCAUUUUGAAAGAUAUAUGAAAAAUUUUCUCGUUCGUAGUAUUUUUUUUACGUAUUUAACCAUGACAUAAUAUUGGAAGAAUUUUAAUUCAAUUAUAAUGUAUGUUUGAUGCUGUCAAUAUUUUUAACAGGCAUUACAAUCAUUACUCAUCACAAUACAAAAAAACUUUUUAACAGAUAAAAAAUGUAUACAAUCAUAAAAAAAUCAACAUCAAAAACCUUUCUGGUUUUUGAAAACAUUCAAAACUGUAAAUAUUCAAAAAUAUAAAAAACACAAACUUGAAAAACUAUAAUUUAAAAAACUUUUUAUAAGUUCUAAAAAUUAAAAAAAAAAUAAAACAAAGACUUCAAAAAUUUGCAAAAAAAAAUAAGGUUAUUUCCAAUUUUGUAAAAUUACAAUUAAUAAAAAUUUAAUGAAUAAAAAAACAGUUUAAUAUUAAAAAUAUUAAAAAAUAAAGGAAAUAGGAAAAAAUAAUUAAUAAAUAUAUGUCUUAUUUAAAAAAAAUAGUUACAAAAUUGUGCUAUUUUGAAAUCUUGUUAAUUAUUACUUAAUAACUUUUCAAUUUCAAAAUAGUUGAAUUGUCAGUUCUUGAUUUUUCGAGUUUUUAAUUUUUGAAUUUAUAUUAUUUUUUUAAAUUAAAAAAUUUCAGAAUUCAAAAUUGCGUAAAUUGUUCAUUCAAAAAUUCCAAAAACCCAAAAUUAAAAUAUUAGAAAAUACAAACAUUUUUUUAUGUCGAAUUAAAAUUUUUAAAAUUAAUAAUUUAUUAAAUUUUAAAAAUUUGUAGUGUUGAGAAUUUUUGAACUUUUGAAUUUUUAGAAACAAACUGCGUAGAAAAUUAGUAGCAUACAGGUUGUUUUGACAAUUUACUAUAAAAUUCCUAUUUAUUAAGAAAGUAUUUGGUAAAAAUAGACACUUCAUAACAUAUUUAGGAUUAAUUUCUUUUACAAAUUUGACUGGAUGGCCCUGAUUUGAAAUAUGAUAAAUUAUUUAAAAAAACUAAAAAUGAAACCAGUUGUGUAUCUAAACAAAAUUUACAAAAAAAGGCAAUGGGAAAAAAUGUAUUUUCAAAAAAACAAUUUUACCAACUCAUUUAGAAUAAUUGAAAAAAUGUAAAAAUACGUCUAAAAAUAUAUGAAUUAUCGAAUUCUAACGGCCACCCUGAAAAUUAUUUUAAAUAGAAUUAUACCAACGGCUUUCACGACAAAUAACUUUGGUUAAUUUGAGCAUAGUUUGCUAGUAACAAGCGUAUAAAAUACUCGGCAAAUAAAUAUGCAACGACUUUUGUCUCAACCCAACCAAGCCAUUAAUUUACCCUCUCUUACUUACCCGAAAUCUCUUCGAAAGAGCUGCUGCGUCGCUGAUGAGAUAAGCUAAACGAGAACGAUAAGAGCGGCGAUGCUGCAUUUUGAUUAUACGAAUAUAUUUUUGUUAUUUUUUUUUCUCGGUAUGUGUUAUGCUCUCUCCCUCCCUCUUUCUUUGUUUUCCCAUUCACUAUUUCUUUUGUUCAUACAACCAAAACGACAAAAUACAACACAACAACGACGACGACGA